UCUAUACUGGUGGACGAUGUUGAGACCAAAUACGGUGUCGAUGCACAUCUGUCUGUCUAUAACGUGACACCGGUCGUGGAAGAUCAAUUCAGUGCGCAUAGACUGUACAUCGAGGAUGGUCCGUCGGAUCACGUGAGCGCAAUCCAUGCAGGAUGGGCGGUAUAUCCAAGCUUAAAUGGUGAUGGUCUCACACGGUUUGUUACGUACUGGACGGGGGAUGGUUUUCGCAACGGGUGCUUCAACAUCCAAUGCCCAGGUUUCGUGCAAAUCCAUAAGACGUUUACUACUAACCUUCCCAUCGCCCCG